GUAAUCUAGCAAACUGACCACGGCGAUUCAGAAGUAAAUAGCGGCUAUUUUUGCGGUUGUCGAGGUAAAUUCGUGUUAAUAGUUUGGCGAAUGUCUGAAACUCGGUCGGGAGGCGACGUCUGUGGAUCCCAAUGCUGGUUUACCGGACAGUCUUUCGGUAGUUGAUAAUGCUGAAGAUGAGGCUGCCGACGGCGGAGGGAGACAGCGACACGGCCGAGGGCGAACGACGCAGGGAAGAUAACGGUCAACGCGGCUUCAACCGGCGCUUUAAUCCGCCGUUCAACGGUCAUAACGGUUGUGAGGAGGCACCGGUGGCGCGCGCUUGCCGCGAGCUCGACAGGGAGUCGGUGUUCGAAUGGUUCGGCUUGCGGCUGAGCCCGGCCCGGCGCGUGCACUUUCUCACCGGUCUGCUCCACAUGUGCCAGCCGCUCGAGCUCCGCUUCCUGGGCUCGUGCCUGGAGGACCUGGCGCGCAAGGACUUCCACGUGCUGCGGGACGUCGAGGCGCGCGCCAACAGCCCGGCAGACCUGCGGCUCCUCACCGACAUCGGUGACCCGGUCGUGCUCUCGCAUCUGCUGGUCUGCCUCCCGCUGCUCAGCUCCAAGAACCGGGAGUGUGCCACCGUGCUGUACGGAACGCUGAGCCGGAUCGACGCGCUGCACUCGGCGAACUGCUGUGCCACGAGCGCGCCGGAGCCGGUGGAUCGUCUGGAGCAGCUGGCGUUGCUGUUCGCCAUGGCGUCCCUGCACCCGGCGUUCACUUUCCACCAGAGGGAGGUGAUUCGAGCUCAGCUGGACAGAGUGGACGCCUUACUGGAGGAACGGAACCGGAACCAUUACGCGUGCACACCACAAACACUGCAGAGCCAGUAUUCUCGGCCAGACGAGCUCUGUCCACACGCGAAGGGCAGCAGAACCUGGCCGUCGUGUCACAUCCAGCACCUCAGCAGCGUGCCUCAGAGCGAAGUGGUGCAUAUUGAGAAGAUCAAGCUGAAGGAGAUCUUGCUGGCAGGAGACAGCCGGGAGUACAGCUUCGAGGUUAAAUGGUCCGACUCAUCGUCCACCGCUGUGACCAGGAGUCAGCGUGAACUGCAGGACUUUCUGCUGAAGCUGUGUAAGGAGCAGAACGCUGGAGGAUUUGAGCAGGACGUUUUGAGCGUACUGAGUCAGGCCGAGUGUAAACACAGGGACCUGGAGAGAACGCUCAGGGCGAGGUUCUCUUCGGUGCCCCAGGAGUUCCUGAAGAUGUGUCAGGCUUCAGGGUUCUUUGUGCCUGCCGCGUCCCCCCCGCACUGCAGCCACUGUAACAGUGCACCUGCUGCCAGGGCUCUUCAGCUGGCUCCUCGUUUCUCAGAGGACUGCUCGGAGACUUCCAGCCUGGAGGAAGACCUCGAUGCGUAUGGAGUCUCCUGCUCAAGAACACACAGUGUUGUCAGCACGGGGUCUGGUAAGCAGCACAUGGAUGGCUGCCAGUGGGAGUGUAGCAGGAGGAGUAUCCACGACGAGUUGAAUGGGGAGGUGACCGGAAGGAGGCGCGGUGCCCAGCCGUGCGGGACAGAACCUGACCAGGAGUGUGAGAACCCUGCGGUGGGUGUAUCGGGUCAGAACUCCGCUGACGAGAGGACUCCGAAGAUGAAAGGAAGACCAGUGGCUAAAAGGGACAGAGGCAGGAGAGCUACGACCACUAAAAGCUCUAUAGCCAACGGCAUUCAGCGAGUUCCGGCUGUACAGAUGAUGAACCAGGCCAUGUGCAAGGUUACAGGCAGGGACACGUACGGAGACACGUCUUCAGAAAGCUCCAACUCGGUUCCGUCAAGCCCUGUUCAUCACCAGCGCAGUCUGGAGACUCAAGACACCGAGAGUCAGUCGGACAACUCCGUUCCAGAGCCGCCUGACGCCGCCUGCCUUCCCAAGAGCCCCGGAAGGAAAGCGGUGGCCAUGGUGAACCCACUGGUGACCGAACUGGAGCGGGCCAGAGCCGACGCCCCCGCUCCCCCCUCGGCCGCGGUGGAGGUGGCCGUGCAGUACGGCAGGGUACGACACGAUUCCAGGCCCAGCAUGCCCGUUUCGGGAGACCCACCUCCGCCCGUUUGCCCUGACCCACAUCUGCCCCCGAGUGCACCCGGCACUGCUGUUCCAACAUCGAGGCCCUGCGUCAAGACCAGCAUCCAGCCACAGACCUCUCACACCAACUCUGGGUUAGUCCAGUGCCCGCUUGCUAGCAGUGUGCCCAUCCAGAUGCCCAGUACUGUUCCUGUCCCACCUGCUGCUUUUCCACAGACUGAAAGUACGAGCUACAUCAAUAACACUGCAUGUCCAGGCACACCGGGGACGGUGCAGCAGCAAACGGGGUGCAACGCCUGUGGUUGCCGUGGCACCUGCGGAGGCACCAGUGCCCAUCAGUCUCCUGCCAGCUUUUUUCUGCCAGCGCAUCCCACGCGCCAGCUCUUCGGCCCACCCGCACCUUUUUUUCAGCUGGCACCUUCUCUGUGCAACACCACCUUCUCCACACAGGCGCACCAAGGUAACGGAACGCCGCUGCCUUUUUAUGCCCACGCAACUCCCACCGCGGCCUUCACUACCGGCGCCCUUUUACAAGCCCACUCGGACCACCUGAUGUCCGCGCAGCAGCCCGGUUACGCGGCUCUGCCGCAGGUGGCCGCCUUCGGUCGCUUCUACCCACCCGUCUUCCCACAAGUCGGCGCCGUACCCGGCGGCACCGGACUGAAGAAAUCCAACAGUAUGUCCUGCUAUAACUGUGGCAUGAGCGGGCACUACGCCCCGGACUGCAAGCAGCCGUCCAUGGAUGCCGGGCAGCCAGGAGGAUUCCGGCUCAAAUACGUCGUGCCGCACUCGUCUGAAACACUAGAUAAAGCCGAUUGACAGUCGAGGACCAAGGUUUCUUCAUCUCUUCCCUAAAUGAGUGACGCCAGAGCGCCUGUGUUAAAGCGAUGGAAUAUUUAUGGGCAGCACUGAACGUCUUGUGUUUCUUAGUUGAUGUUGAGAGACUUUUCAGCACAGGCUCGGUCAUUUCUGACGACGGAUCUUUCUGGAUGAGGAUUUACUUCAGAAUUGUGUCGUGUGAACAGAUGAAAAUGCUUCCGAAUUUAAGUUCUUGUUAAAAAAAAAAAAAAAGUUUCUAUUUCAUUGGAGUCGUGUCGGAGCCUAACUUGAGUACUUAUCUGGCCUCUGAAGGUUUUUUAGACACCAGAGGAUUUUUUUUAUACUUGGAGCAGCUACUAAAAGCUAAAGACUGUAUUUAAGAUGUUUGAUUUUUGUUUUAUUGUUAAAAAAUGGAUCUAUGUUUUUCAAUUCAAGUGUUGUUGACUGUAAACUAAGUAAAUGAGACGGUUGUCGUACUGUGAAUCACGCUUCACUCAUUCCGUUUAAGUGCCGGUUGGCUCUGCUUUGGAUUGAUGCACUAUUGUUUUCAGGCCCGUGUACCUGUGUGCCUGUGUACCUGUGUGCCCGUGUACCCGUGUACCUGUGUGCCCGUGUACCCGUGUGCAUGGGCUCCAGGUGUUUUAAGUGCACUGAUAAAUGACAGCGUUGCUGUUUGCUCACUGCCUCCGUUUAUUAAAAUGAAAAUCUUACUUUCUCUGAUCGAUGCAUGACGCAUGAGUUUAACUCCACUACAGACUUCCAUCAGCAGCAUGGAGCAAAAUGCAGCAGCACAAACGCUGAUCCGGCACCAAGUGUUCAACGUUUCCACCAGAAUCCUUUGUGUAGCCUUUUUUUAGGCCUUAGUGACAUUACAAGGACUCGGUUGAGGAUUUUGGCCACUGGGAGUCAAACCGUGUGUCUCAGUCAAGAUUUAUUUUUGACCUUGUUGUGAAAUUGUGGGCAAAGUCUUUGUCAAGUGAGCCUGCCUGCUUAUUAAAUCAUUAUUUUUUAAUCCUUAGAAGAGGUGGCCUAUAUAUUUGUGCUUACUGCCACACGACGUUGACUAUUAAUUCAGACUGGUGUAAGUGUCUCCUGCGUUUAGGUCGUGCUCAUUUCUAAAAGCAGAAUUGCCAAAGCAGCAAAGAAUCAUUUUGUAUUGAAAGAUUCGGCAGGUUUUUUUCUUUGAUUUUCUUACUGAUUCUUAAAAAGAAGUGACAUUUAUUUUGUUUUGAUGUUCUGUAUGAUGAGAACUCGAGGCCUUUAACCUGUUCCGGGCCGUUUUUUUCCCCCAUGUACUGAAAUGUAGAAUUUGUUUGCAGUAAUAAAACCCAGGAACCUGCCAACUGUAUUUGUUCACCCUGUAGAGGUGUGAAGGUUUACGAUGCUGUACUGUAUAUAAGUUUUAUUUAGGCCUCAGAGAUUGUUCACUGUAUUUCGAAUGUACAUGUUGAUUAAUACGGAGAGGUUACACUUUAUCUGAUCGUAUUUGCAUUUUAAGCAAAUUCAUUGUUUUCUUUGUUUAAUUAUUAUUAGCAAUAAAUG